CUUUUCUCAGUGCGACACAAACCAGUAACAACCUCGCCUUUCUCACUGUGCCGCUCACUGCCAGCUCUGUGCCCGUGCCGCUCACGGCGGCUGUGCCGGGAUGCUCACUGGCUCAUUCCAUCCUUGCAACAACCUCAAGCUGCCUGGGACUCCAGCUCCAGGAAUCGAACACUGUCUUCUGGCCCCCAAAGCACCCACGCUAACCUCAAAGUCACAAUCCUCCAGCCUCAGCCUUCCCCUGUGUCCUGGCUAAGGGACACUUCAAUGAAAUGCCUCAUUCUGUAAAACCAACAAAAACAAAACCAACCGGAAAGCGACCAUAGCUCCUGUAUGGGAGGCAGCCUAUGGAAAAACUGACCUUCUCUGAGGAUGUUGCAACUGUAGCUUGGAGAGGCACCUGUUGAAAGUUCCACGAGCUGGCCAGGGGAGUAGCCGGAUCUUGAAGAGGGAGCACCUGCAGUCUUCUUCCUGCACAACAGCUGGAAAUGGUGUGCGGGUCUGACGUAGGGUUCAUCACUUUAGCCCCGCUGCCGUGGAAUUAUGUAAUUCAAGCUGGCUCUGAACUCAUAGUGACCUUCCUGCCCCAGCCUCCCAAGUGCUGGGACUAGAGGUGUGAGCCACCAUAUCCAACUCAAGACAGGAAAUAUCUGUAAGUGCCAUGUGAGAAAGUAUUUCUCUAAUACUUUGCUUAUUUUAAGUUUUUGUUGUUGUUUUGGUUUUUCGAGACAGUGUUUCUCUGUGUAGUCCUGGCUGUCCAGGAGCUCACUCUGUAGACCAGACUGGCCUCAAAUUCACAGAGAUCUGCCUGCCUCUCUCUGCCUUCCCAGUGCUAGGGUUAAAGGUGUGCGCCACCACCCAGCUAUCUCUCUAAUACUAAAUUCAUUGGGAACCCCCAAGAACUUCAAGGAUAUAUAGUUUUCAGGCAAAUAAGAGAAAUGACCAUUCUGUUUGUACUGGUGUUUUAGCUGGAUUUACGACUAAGAGUCAUAAUGGACUAUUGAGAGGGAAACAAGAGGACACAGGGCACAUUUCUAGCGUUAGGAAGUUGUGUGAGAUGAGCCUGUGAAAAGGAGCGCUGCUAGGUCUGGCAACUCAAGUUCCCACCAUGUGGGUCAGAAGAACCCACUCUAACGAGCGGUCCUCUGAUCUCCGCACGUGCACGUGGUACACCCGUCUCCCAACACACACAGUAUCUCAUUCUUUGAAACUAUUUUUAGAAAGCUAUUUAAAAUGACACGAUAUCCACUUUUUGCCCUCUCAAGACAACCUCAUCUGGUCACCAGGCAACCAAGUUUUACAAUAGCUAGCCACCAACGUCUGGCUUGGCCUCGGGUCUGAAAGGAGCCCAUGUUCCUCAUCUUGUCCCCUUGAACUAAGAACUCCUAAGACUAAUAAUUGCAAUCUGUAGAGAAGAUGCGGACAAGUACAAAAGAAGGAAAACAACGGUCGUACAACAAAGUGCACCGCGUGGCUUACCGCUCAGUUCCCAAGGGGGCUGGGGAGUAAGUCGAGGGUGUUGACCGUCUGGUGUAUAGAGCAGAGGCAUUUUACUGCAUCUCACAUGGUAGAAAGGAAACUCACAAUCGUAUUUUUGAAGGGCACGAAGCAUUUUUAUAAAAGCAGAGCUCUUGUGACUUACCCAGCUCUCAAAGACUCUCACAGUGGGAAUAGGUGUCAUAUAAAUUUGGGGCUACAAACAUUCAGACCGUAACAGGUUAUACUCUAUUAAAGAAAGAUAGGGGGCUGGAGAGAUGGCUCACUGGAUAAGAGCACUGACUGCUCUUCCAGAGGACCUGGGUUCAAUUCCCAGCAUCCACAUGGCAGCUCACAACUGUCUGAAGAUCCAGUUCUAGGGAAUCUGACACCUUCACACCAAUGCACAUAAAAUAAAAAGUUAAAUAAACCAUAAAAAAUAUUAUAAAAAAAAAGACGGGAAAAACUCCUUGACAAAAAACUCUUUUAAGGGCUGGAGAGAUGGCUCAGUGGUUAAGAGCACUGUCUGCUCUUCCAGAGGUCCUGAGUUCAAUUCCCAGCAACCACAUGGUGGCUCCAAACCAUCUGUAAAGAGAUCUGGCACCCUCCUCUGGUGUGUGGGUAUAAAUGGAGGCAGAAAGUUGUAUACAUAAUAAAUAAAUCUUUAAAAAAAAUACUCUUUUAAUCCGGUACUCAGGUGGCUGAGGCAGGCAGAUCUCUGAGUUUGAGGUCAGCUUGGUCUACACAGCAAGUUCCAGGCCAGUCAGGAAUACAUAGUGAGAACUCAUUUUGAAAAAAGGACUGAAUUUUCAGAAUAUAAAAUCAGUAUAAAAAUGACUGUUUUAGCCGGGCGGUGGUGGCGCAUGCCUUUAAUCCCAGCACUCGGGAGGCAGAGGCAGGCGGAUCUCUGUGAGUUCGAGGCCAGCCUGGUCUAUAAGAGCUAGUUCCAGGACAGGAACCAAAAAGCUACGGAAAAACCCUGUCUCGAAAAUCAAAAAAAAAAAAAAAAAAACUGUUUUGGGGCCAGCAAGAUGAUUGAAAGGUGGUUUGCUGCGCAGGCCUGGCAACUUGAAUUCCAGCCCGGCACCCUAUAUAGAGCUAGCACAGCACAGAGUUGUCCAGUGCCCUCAUGUGUAUGUACUUGUAGGAGUUAAAAAUGUUUAGUUCUAAAGUCAGAUGUGGUGGUUCACACCUAUAACCCAGCAGCUAGAACCAAAUACCAUAAACAGAAUAUGUUACAUAAGCAACAAAAAUUGUUUUCUCAGUUUCGGCUCAGUGGGGGAAAGUGUUUGCUCCUGAGUGCAGUCACCUGUGUGUGAGCUCAAUCCCUAGAGUCUACAAGUGCAGGAAGAGAAGCCAGUCCUGCAGGCUGUCUAACCACCAUAUGGACGACUCCCUGCCCCCACACAAUGAAUAAAUUUAAGACAAAUCUUAAUGAAAACUUAGGGAUUUUUCUGGAGGUUUCUUGGUGGCAUACAAAACA